GUUUGGAUACAAGAUAGAAGUGCUUUUGAGAACUUCUCUAUCAAAAAAAGUUCUAUAUUUCUAAUAGAAAAGAUCUCAAAAGUACUUGUGGCUUGUAUCCAAACAAU
rnacentral:pre_miRNA from 1 species